rnacentral:lncRNA from 1 species
GCACUUUUUCAAUUUCAAAAUUUUAAGGAUUUAAAAAAAAUUGAAGGAUUAAAAUUGAUAUUUUACAAGGUGAGGAAGAAAUAUAAAAAUUAAAUUUUCAACUUUCGAUUAAAUUGAAGGGUCGGUGAGAGGCUAGGAUGGUAGCACGUGGAUUGACCAAGGCGAGCAACGAUGGUGUAGGAACGAUGUAGCGGCCAAACCGAAAAAAGAAAGAUGGAAAAAGAGAAAAAAGGAAAAAUUGUGGGUUAAGAACCUCCAGUUUUGAGUGGGAUUUUUUGUGUUUCUUUUUUGUGUCACUUUUUCAUACAAAUUAAUUUACUAUUUAUAGUAAAAACACCUUAAAAAUCCCAGAUUAAUGCAACUUAAUGAUUUAACUAAUCUACA